AUUGAACGCUGGCGGCAGGCCUAACACAUGCAAGUCGACCUUAGUGGCGAACGGGUGAGUAACACGUGGGUAACCUGCCCAUCAGACGGGGAUAACACUUGGAAACAGGUGCUAAUUCCGUAUACCGAUGGACGGACCCGCGGUGCAUUAGCUAGUUGGUGCGGUAACGGCUCACUAAGGCCACGAUGCAUAGCAGACGUGGGAGGGGGAUCGGCCACAUUGAAACUGAGACACGGCCCAAACGCCUCCGGAAGGCAGCGGUAGGGAAUCUUCGGCAAUGGACGAAAGUCUGACCAAGCAACGCCGCGUGAGUGAAGAAGGUUUUCGGAUCGUAAAACUCUGUUGUUAGAGAAGCGGUAUCUAACCAGAAAGCCACGGCUAACUACGUGCCAGCAGCCGCGGUAAUAC
rnacentral:rRNA from 1 species